AAAGAGGAAUAGCAUUAUUGUCUGUUCCUGCAUAUUUAUUCUAUUGUAUGCAUUCGCCAGCUUUCCGAGUCGAUCUAUGAAGGCAUUGCUGGGCAGGGUGAGGGAGCAGAGAAAGGGCUGCUGCAGUUGUACUCUAGCGGCGCCGCGUGCCCUGCAGCGAUACCACCAGGACACCCUCACUUACCACUGAAAGACGGAGAUGACAUUGCUGUCGACAACCAGCUUUCCAUCUUCUGCGCGCACAUCGCCAUGGUAACGUCCAUGUGUGGAAUCGUACUUGAACAUGUAGACCUAAUGAAAUGAAUAAAAAUAAGUGUAACUUGA